UGAAAACUUUAGCGGAGAGGUCACAGGAAUGGCGGCCGUUAGGAUGGGAAAGCUGACAGCUAUGCCUGCAGGUCUGAUAUGUGCAUCUAUAGUUGUCCGUGCAGCCAAAGAAGAGUCCAAAAAGCAGCUAGUGAAACCAGAGCAGCUCCCCAUAUAUACUGCACCACCUCUUCAAUCUAAAUAUGUUGAAGAACAGCCUGGUCAUUUGCAAAUGGGCUUUGCUUCCAUCCGUACUACAACUGGUCGUUAUAUUGGCUGGUUCAAGGGUGUAUAUGUCUUUGUGAAAAACGGGAUAAUGGAUACCGUACAAUUUGGAAAAGAUGCAUAUGUUUAUCUGAAGAAUCCGCCUGGAGAUUUUCUUCCCAAAAUUGGAGUGAUUACAGUUUCAGGAUUGGCAGGCUUGGUUUCAGCAAGAAAAGGUUCUAGAUUUAAGAAAAUUGCUUAUCCACUGGGACUAGCCACUUUAGGAGCAACUGUUUGCUACCCAGUUCAGUCAGUAAUCAUUGCAAAGGUAACUGGGAAAAAGGCAUAUGCUACAAGCCAGCAAAUUUAUGAAGCAGUUAAAUCAUGGACAAAAAGCAACAAAAAAGAAACACUCCCUGAACCUAAAGAAAAAACUAAGGUAGGAAGUUAUGCUGAAAUAGAAAUACCUACAAAGACAGCUCAAGUCCUGAAACGUUCAGUGCCUUUGCCAACAGAACUCGGCUCUGAAACAAAGACCAAAUCAGAACUCACCUCAGGAAUCACCAAUUUGGGAAUUUGAUGUUGUGAACCUCUUCGAGAAUCUGAUAAAAGCAGAAUGAAAUCUGUCUCCCAGGAUUACUGUCCCUCUAAAGUGCCACACAGUUUAUGCCUGACCCCAAGCUCAUGGAUCACGGGCAGUCCCAUCCAGAAGAUGUAGAUAUGUACAGCACUAGAAGCUGAGAUAGACUGCAUAGAGAACUACAAGAUGUGUGAAGUUGCAAAUAAUGAUGAAAAAAAUCAUGUAAUGGGUAACUGUGACACAUAGAGUAUAACUUAAAUCAAGUUUUUUCCCCUUACGUUUUGUAAUGUAGAGUUUGACCAAUCCAUAAAUGAUUAAUAUACAAACUGAAUGCGGUCCAAACAGUAUUAAAUGAUUGAUGAGGAGACAGUGGUAGAAGUAAUAGGAUGCAUUUGAUGACUUUUAAGGAUGUUUAUAAAAGACCAAAAUGGAAUAAGAACAUGAAUACUGAUGAGACUGAAAUCUGAAAACACAUACCUGUAUAUACACAAAUAUAUCUGCUCUAGCUCUUCUGAAUUAAUAUCAGCUAAAUUAGAAUGGUGUGUAGAAGGACAUCCCCCCCUUUUUUUGCAUUUCCCAGAGCUGGAAUAAAAUAUGCAUAUUUUUUGGCACUUGCACUUGGUUUUGUCUCUUUCUUUUAUUAAUGUUAACUUCUCAUAAAUGUCCAAAAACACCUCUAACUUUAAAAUGC